rnacentral:rRNA from 1 species
UACGUAGGGUGCGAGCGUUGUCCGGAAUUAUUGGGCGUAAAGGGCUCGUAGGCGGUUUUGUCGCGUCGGGAGUGAAAACCUCGGGCUUAACUCGGGGCUUGCUUUCGAUACGGGCAGACUGGAGGUAUGCAGGGGAGAACGGAAUUCCUGGUGUAGCGGUGAAAUGCGCAGAUAUCAGGAGGAACACCGGUGGCGAAGGCGGGUCUCUGGGCCGAAACUGACGCUGAGGAGCGAAAGCGUGGGGGAGCGAACAGG